AGAGUUUGAUCCUGGCUCAGGAUGAACGCUAGCUACAGGCUUAACACAUGCAAGUCGGAGGGGCAUCAGUUUGGUUUGCUUGCAAACCAAAGCUGGCGACCGGCGCACGGGUGAGUAACACGUAUCCAACCUGCCUCAUACUCGGGGAUAGCCUUUCGAAAGAAAGAUUAAUAUCUGAUAGCAUAUAUUUCCCGCAUGGGUUUUAUAUUAAAGAAAUUCGGUAUGAGAUGGGGAUGCGUUCCAUUAGUUUGUUGGCGGGGUAACGGCCCACCAAGACUACGAUGGGUAGGGGUUCUGAGAGGAAGGUCCCCCACAUUGGAACUGAGACACGGUCCAAACUCCUACGGGAGGCAGCA
rnacentral:rRNA from 1 species